GACGAACGCCGGCGGCGUGCUUAACACAUGCAAGUCGAGCGAUGAAGCUCCUUCGGGAGUGGAUUAGCGGCGGCCGGGUGAGUAACACGUGGGUAACCUGCCCCAUAGAGGGGAAUAGCCUUUCGAACGGAAGAUUAAUACCGCAUAAGAUUGUAGCUUCGAAGGCAGCCGCAAUUAAAGGGGUCAUCGGAUAUGAGAUGGACCCGUGUCGCAUUAGCUAGUUGGGGAGGUAACGGCUCACCAAGGCGACGAUGCGUAGCCGACCUGAGAGGGUGAUCGGCCACAUUGGGACUGAGACACGGCCCAGACUCCUACGGGAGGCAGCAGUGGGGAAUAUUGCACAAUGGGGGAAACCCUGAUGCAGCAACGCCGCGUGAGUGAUGACGGUCUUCGGAUUGUAAAGCUCUGUCUUCAGGGACGAUAAUGACGGUACCUGAGGAGGAAGCCACGGCUAACUACGUGCCAGCCGCCGCAGUAA
rnacentral:rRNA from 1 species